AUUGAACGCUGGCGGCAGGCUUAACACAUGCAAGUCGAGCGAGCGGCGGACGGGUGAGUAAUGUAUGGGGACUGCCCGAUGGAGGGGGAUAACUACUGGAAACGGUGGCUAAUACCGCAUACUAUCGGAUAACCCAUAUGGGAUUAGCUAGUAGGUGGGGUAAAGGCUCACCUAGGCGACGAUGCCUAGCUGGUCUGAGAGGAUGAGCAGCCAACCUGGAACUGAGACACGGGCCAGACUCCUACGGAGGCAGCAGUGGGGAAUAUUGCACAAUUGGCGAAAGGCUGAUGCAGCCAUGCCGCGUGUAUGAAGAAGGCCUUAGGGUUGUAAAGUACUUUCAGCGGGGAGGCGUUACGCGCAGAAGAAGCACCGGCUAACUCCGUGCCAGCAGCCGCGGUAAUUC
rnacentral:rRNA from 1 species